rnacentral:lncRNA from 1 species
AAAUAAAGUAUAGUACAAAAGAUGUAAAUUAUAAUGUCAAUUCCACAUUUGGUCUUUGUUGCUUUCAAUUUUAGUUGUUCUAUAGUUUACUAUAAAUCUUAGUCCGGUUAACUCCAAAAUAUGAAUGAAUAUUCGUAAUACAUUCAUAUAAACAAAACCGAUAAAAUAAGACUGACAAAUAUUAUAAAAAAAAUUUAACGUCAAGGAGCAAGCAUUGAACAAGCAAGCCAUCCACCAUCAUAUUCUUUUGUCACACAUAAUAUAAGUAUAAAGCCUCGUUAUUCAUGUUUUCAUAGCAGGUUUCAUAAAAGAACAUUUUUUCUUUUCAUAUUAUGACAAUAGACUGUGUACAUGUUCUAUGACAAUUUAAAUCUCUUUUUCUUAGAAUGCAACAUUGAAACUUUGACAGUCGUGAAUUAUUAAUGUCUACUUUAAGGUCGAGCCGUACUCCGUUAAUGUUUUAAGAACGAAUUACAAUAAAAACAAUAAUAUAGUGGGCAGACAAAAUCAUGACGCCUGAUCAGGUCAUGUCGAAGACAAACAAUUAUUCCGAACAUCAUAACGUCAUAAGAGAAUCAGUAUAAGCAUUAAAUGUAAUACAAUGGAAUACAAUAGAAUACAUAACGAGCCAAAAAUGAAUCCACAGCUUAAGUUAUACUAGAUAGAAUAUUAUAGUUAGGCCUUCAUCUAUUAACCUUACAUAAUCACUGGUAUAGGUGCACGUACAUAUGUACAUGUAAAAGACUUUGACUCAUUUUAAAACAUUCAAUUACGAAAUAUUAGUUAUCAAAGGUACCAGGAUUAUAAUUUAGUACGCAAGACUCGCGUUUCGUCUACAUAAAACUCAUCAGUGACGCUCAUAUCAAAAAUAUUAUAAAGCCAAACAAGUACAAAGUUGAAGAGCAUUGAGGAUCCAAAAUUCCAAAAAAAUGUGCCAAAUACGGCUAAGGUAAUUUAUGCCUGGGAUAAGAAAAUCCUUAGUUUUAAAACAGGAAAUUUGUAAAAAUGAUCACAUUAUUGAUAUUCAUGUCAACACCGAAGUGUUGACUACUAGGCUGGUGAUACCCUCGGGAAUGAAACGUCCACCAGCAGUGGCAGCGACCCAGUGGUGUAAAUAGUUAUCACAGGUACCGAGAUUCACCAGUGACGCUCCUAUCAAAAUAAGAGACACGUUUUGGUCUGUUUUGUAGGGUUCUUAUAAAAAAUCAAACAUUUAAACGCCUUUCCGUAUCAACCCGAUUAAUGUUAACACCUGUAAUGAUAUUCAAUUGCAUUAGGUCGAUUUCUAUCCAACAUAUCUCAUAUCAUGGUAGGGUUUUAUACAAAUAUUGUGUGUGACAAAAUUUUUUCUGAUAUAGACCGGAGCAAACUCAGACGUAACUUGGAUUAGUGUCCUUCCAAUUUUGGUGCACUGGUCGACUACUGGUAUUACAAAUGACGAAAAUACAACUAUGGUAACUUAUCUUAGAUAAGCAAUUUUACAGCUUUUUGUCAAAUAUAAUUUAGUGAAACAGUUGUUAAUUUUAAGAAAUUUUAUGAAUAACGUUUUCACAACAAUUAUGUAAAUAUUAGGAUAAACAACUUAAUGCUUACAAGAC